GAUGAACGCUGGCGGCGUGCCUAAUACAUGCAAGUCGAGCGAACAGACGAGGAGCUUGCUCCUCUGACGUUAGCGGCGGACGGGUGAGUAACACGUGGAUAACCUACCUAUAAGACUGGGAUAACUUCGGGAAACCGGAGCUAAUACCGGAUAAUAUAUUGAACCGCAUGGUUCAAUAGUGAAAGACGGUUUUGCUGUCACUUAUAGAUGGAUCCGCGCCGCAUUAGCUAGUUGGUAAGGUAACGGCUUACCAAGGCGACGAUGCGUAGCCGACCUGAGAGGGUGAGCGCCAACACGGGAACGGAGACAGGGCCGAGACCCCGAGGGGAGGAACAAGGAGGGAAUCUUCGGAAAGGGGGGAAAGCUUGACGGAGCAACGCGGGGGGAGUGAUAAAGGUUUUGGGAUGGAAAAACUUUUUUAUGGGGGAAGAAAAAAUGUGUAAGUAACUAUGCACGUUUUGACGGUACCUAACAAAAAAGCCAGGGCUAACUAGGUG
rnacentral:rRNA from 1 species